GUUUAAAGUGAGUCGUCAUCAGGUCGUCAUCCAAUCAGAUGCAUGCAUCUAGUAACUUGCCGAGCACGCGCACAAAAAAAGUGGGUACACUAGUUACGUCUCUGUAUGUCUCUACUCUGUUACAGAGUAGAGACAUACAGAGACGUAACUAGUGUACCCACUUUUUUUGUGCGCAUGCUCGGCAAGUUACUAGAUGCAUGCAUCUGAUUGGAUGACUACCUGAUGACGACUCACUUUAAACUUGCUGAGCACGCGCAGUUGAUCAUUUUUCGCCCGGUCGCCUAAAAAAAAAGUGGGUACAUGAUAACGUAAUCUUCCGCAGUGUUUACAACGGUCAGUUACGUCUCUGUAUGUCUUAUCUACUCUGUG